rnacentral:rRNA from 1 species
CCUACGGGUGGCAGCAGUGAGGAAUAUUGGUCAAUGGUCGGGAGACUGAACCAGCCAAGUCGCGUGAGGGAUGACGGCCCAGAGUAUUGUAAACCUCUUUUGUCAGGGAACAAAGGCCGGGACGCGUCCCCGGUCGAGAGUACCCGGAGAAAAAGCAUCGGCUAACUCCGUGCCAGCAGCCGCGGUAAUACGGAGGAUGUGAGCGUUAUCCGGAUUUAUUGGGUUUAAAGGGUGCGCAGGCGGCCUCUUAAGUCAGCGGUAAAAGUCCGGGGCUCAACCCCGGUCCGCCGUUGAAACUGGGAGUCUCGAGUUGGAGAGAAGUAUGCGGAAUGCGCGGUGUAGCGGUGAAAUGCAUAGAUAUCGCGCAGAACUCCGAUUGCGAAGGCAGCAUGCCGGCGCCACACUGACGCUGAGGCACGAAAGCGUGGGUAUCGAACAGGAUUAGAUACCCGAGUAGUC